rnacentral:rRNA from 1 species
GAAAGUAAACAAGGGCGCAUGGCGGAUGCCUUGGCUCUCGGAGGCGAUGAAGGACGUGAUAAGCUGCGAUAAGCUCCGGGGAGGUGCAAAUAACCUUUGAUCCGGGGAUUUCCGAAUGGGACAACCCGGCGUGUUGAAGACACGCCACCUGAUCAUUUCAGGAGCUAACGCAGGGAACUGAAACAUCUUAGUACCUGCAGGAAAAGAAAAUAACAAUGAUUCCCCCAGUAGUGGCGAGCGAACGGGGAAUAGCCCAAACCGUUCAUGUUACGGCAUGAUCGGGGUUGUAGGACUACGUCGUUGCAUGAAGACAUCGGAGAAGAACUUUCUGGAAAGAAAGACCAUAGAGCAUGACAGUUGCGUAUUCGUAUGUUGUCGAAGCAUAGUAGUAUCCUGAGUAGCGCGGAGCACGAGGAAUUCUGCGUGAAUCUGCCGGGACCAUCCGGUAAGGCUAAAUACUCCCGAGAGACCGAUAGCGAACCAGUACCGUGAGGGAAAGGUGAAAAGCACUUCGAACAGAAGAGUGAAAUAGUUCCUGAAACCGUGCGCCUACAAGCGGUCGGAGCUGCUUAAAGCAGUGACGGCGUGCCUUUUGCAUAAUGAACCUACGAGUUGCCUUUGCCGGCAAGGUUAAGUGUGACGACACACGUAUCCGAAGCGAAAGCGAGUCUGAAUAGGGCGUAUAGUCGGCAGUGGCAGACGCGAAACCAAGUGAUCUACCCUUGGCCAGGUUGAAGGCUGGGUAACACCAGCUGGAGGACCGCACCAAUAAGCGUUGAAAAGCUUCUGGAUGAGCUGAGGGUAGGGGUGAAAGGCUAAUCAAACUUGGAGAUAGCUCGUACUCCCCGAAAUGCAUUUAGGUGCAGCCUUGAGAGUUACUAAUGUGAGGUAGAGCGACUGAUAAGAUGCGAGGGCUUCACCGCCUAUCAAGUCUUGACAAACUCCGAAUGCGUGUCAGUUCUAUGUCAGGAGUGAGGGCAUGGGUGCUAAGGUCCAUGUCCUAAAGGAGAACAAUCCGGACCAACAGCUAAGGUCCCGAAAUGAAUACUAAGUUGAACUAACGAAGUCAGAUUGCUAAGACAGCUAGGAUGUUGGCUUGGAAGCAGCCAUUCAUUUAAAGAGUGCGUAACAGCUCACUAGUCGAGGAGUCUGGCGUGGAUAAUAAUCGGGUAUUAAGUUGUCUACCGAAGCAGUGGGAUCAUUGAAAUGAUCGGUAGGGGAGCAUUCCAGUCAGCGUCGAAGGCGUACCGCGAGGUAUUCUGGAGCGUCUGGAAAAGCAAAUGUAGGUAUAAGUAACGAUAAAGGGGGCGGGAAACCCCCUCGCCGAAAGACUAAGGUUUCCUGAUCAACGCUAAUCGGAUCAGGGUAAGUCGGGUCCUAAGGCUCAGCCGAAGGGCGAUGCCGAUGGCAGAAACGGUUAAUAUUCCGUUACUACCUCCAGGAGUGAUGUGGAGACGCAGUAGUGACAAUGCCGCCAUCUGACGGAAUAGAUGGUUGAAGGGUGUAGAUGUUGAUCUUGGCAGGCAAAUCCACCAUGAGAAUCGAACCUGAUAGUAUGCCGCGUCCCUCGGGACAAGGCAAUAGUGCAUGUAAUCAUGCUGCCAAGAAAAUCCGCUAAACUAAAUCCUGUAGGUACCCGUACCGUAAACGGACACACGUAGUCGGGAUGAAUAUUCUAAGGCGCUUGAGUGAUUCACGGUUAAGGAACUAGGCAAACUGACCCUGUAACUUCGGGAUAAAGGGUCCCUACCCGGUGACGGGAGGGCGCAGAGAAUAGGUCCAGGCAACUGUUUAACAAAAACACAGGGCUGUGCUAAAUUGAAAGAUUACGUAUACAGCCUGACACCUGCCCGGUGCUGGAAGGUUAAGAGGAGAUGUCAUCGCAAGAGAAGCAUUGAAUUGAAGCCCCAGUAAACGGCGGCCGUAACUAUAACGGUCCUAAGGUAGCGAAAUUCCUUGUCGGGU